UUCUCGGGUUCUGGUUUAUCACAUUAACAAACACUUUCGCCUUUUACUAAAGAUUUCCGUGGAGAGGAACAGUUACGAGUUUCAACCAAUUUUUUGAGGCUUCACUUCGGUGAGGCU
rnacentral:snRNA from 1 species